GACGAACGCUGGCGGCGUGCCUAACACAUGCAAGUCGAACGGGGUUACCCUUCGGGGUAACUUAGUGGCGAACAGGUGAGUAACGCGUGAGGAACCUGCCUUUCAGUGGGGGACAACAGUUGGAAACGACUGCUAAUACCGCAUAAUGUUGUCGGAUGGCAUCAUCUGGCAACCAAAGCUUUAUGUGCUGAAAGAUGGCCUCGCGUCUGAUUAGAUAGUUGGUGAGGUAACGGCUCACCAAGUCGACGAUCAGUAGCCGGACUGAGAGGUUGAACGGCCACAUUGGGACUGAGAUACGGCCCAG
rnacentral:rRNA from 1 species